rnacentral:rRNA from 1 species
AGUGAACGCUGGCGGUAGGCCUAACACAUGCAAGUCGAACGGCAGCACAGUAAGAGCUUGCUCUUACGGGUGGCGAGUGGCGGACGGGUGAGGAAUACAUCGGAUUCUACUUUUUCGUGGGGGAUAACGUAGGGAAACUUACGCUAAUACCGCAUACGACCUACGGGUGAAAGCAGGGGAUCUUCGGACCUUGCGCGAUUGAAUGAGCCGAUGUCGGAUUAGCUAGUUGGCGGGGUAAAGGCCCACCAAGGCGACGAUCCGUAGCUGGUCUGAGAGGAUGAUCAGCCACACUGGAACGGAGACACGGUCCAGACUCCUACGGGAGGCAGCAGUGGGGAAUAUUGGACAAUGGGCGCAAGCCUGAUCCAGCCAUACCGCGUGGGUGAAGAAGGCCUUCGGGUUGUAAAGCCCUUUUGUUGGGAAAGAAAAGCAGCAGGUUAAUACCCCGCUGUUAUGACGGUACCCAAAGAAUAAGCACCGGCUAACUACGUG